CUGGCCGGCGUGCUUAACACAUGCAAGUCGAACGAUGAAGCCUAGCUUGCUAGGUGGAUUAGUGGCGCACGGGUGAGUAAUAUAUAGGUAACGUGCCUCUUAGUCUGGGAUAGCCAUUGGAAACGAUGAUUAAUACUGGAUACUCCUUCUAACUCUAAUGUUAGUUGGGAAAGUUUUUCGCUAAGAGAUCGGCCUAUUUCCCAUCAGGUAGUUGGUAGUGUAAGAGACUACCAAGCCUAUGACGGGUAGCGGGUUUGAGAGGAUGAUCCGCCACACUGGUACUGAGACACGGACCAGACUCCUACGGGAGGCAGCAGUGAGGAAUAUUGCACAAUGGAGGAAACUCUGAUGCAGCAACGCCGCGUGGAGGAUGACGCAUUUCGGUGUGUAAACUCCUUUUAUAGGUCAAGAAAAUGACGGUAGCCUAUGAAUAAGCACCGGCUAACUCCGUGCCAGCAGCCGCGGUAAUACGGAGGGUGCAAGCGUUACUCGGAAUCACUGGGCGUAAAGCGCGCGCAGGCGGCUAUUUAAGUUGGAUGUGAAAGCCUACGGCUCAACCGUAGAACUGCAUCCAAAACUAUUUAGCUAGAGUGUGGGAGAGGAAGAUGGAAUUAGUUGUGUAGGGGUAAAAUCCGUAGAGAUAACUAGGAAUACCAAAAGCGAAGGCAAUCUUCUGGAACACUACUGACGCUGAGGCGCGAAAGCGUGGGGAGCAAACAGGAUUAGAUACCCUGGUAGUCCACGCAGUAAACGAUGAAUGUUAGUCGUCGGGAGGCUCGUNCUUUCGGUGAUGCAGCUAACGCAUUAAACAUUCCGCCUGGGGAGUACGGUCGCAAGAUUAAAACUCAAAGGAAUAGACGGGGACCCGCACAAGUGGUGGAGCAUGUGGUUUAAUUCGAAGAUACGCGAAGAACCUUACCUAGCCUUGACAUAUUUUAGAACUCCGUAGAGAUACAGAGGUGCCUUCGGGAGCUAAUUUACAGGUGCUGCACGGCUGUCGUCAGCUCGUGUCGUGAGAUGUUGGGCUAAGUCCCGCAACGAGCGCAACCCUCGUGACUAGUUACUAACGGUU
rnacentral:rRNA from 1 species